UACGUAGGGUGCAAGCGUUAAUCGGAAUUACUGGGCGUAAAGCGUGCGCAGGCGGUUGUGCAAGACAGAUGUGAAAUCCCCGGGCUUAACCUGGGAAUUGCAUUUGUGACUGCACGGCUAGAGUGUGUCAGAGGGGGGUAGAAUUCCACGUGUAGCAGUGAAAUGCGUAGAUAUGUGGAGGAACACCGAUGGCGAAGGCAGCCCCCUGGGUCAAGAUUGACGCUCAUGCACGAAAGCGUGGGGAGCAAACAGG
rnacentral:rRNA from 1 species